rnacentral:rRNA from 1 species
UCCGUAGGGGGCAAGCGUUGUCCGGAAUCAUUGGGCGUAAAGCGCGUGUAGGCGGCCAGGUAAGUCCGUUCUGAAAGCCCGGGGCUCAACCCCGGGAGGCGGAUGGAUACUGCUUGGCUCGAGUCCGGAAGAGGCGAGUGGAAUUCCCGGUGUAGCGGUGAAAUGCGCAGAUAUCGGGAGGAACACCAAUGGCGAAGGCAGCUCGCUGGGACGGUACUGACGCUGAGACGCGAAAGCGUGGGGAGCAAACAGG